UCCCUACCCAGCUAACAUUGGUCCGACGGCAACGUCGUGUCCCUGGCCAAAAAUAGUCGCGGUAGGACGGCAUAAAUCCGUAAAAAUAUGUAACACAGAACUCUGCCUAAAAAUGCAUUCAGAUACGUUUGUACAUGCAUAAAGUUCUCUGGGGUUGCAUAUAUAAUUAUUACUUUAAGUUUUAGCUCCGUGUAGUGCAAUACAUACACUGUUGUGAACCAGUUGUGAGAGGACGUCCACAAGGUGACGUCCUUUACACGUGCAUUUAUAGUCCAUCAUGACCCUGUAUGAAAUCAGUAUGAAAUAUGCAAAAGCAAUUGUGCUUACACCUUGAUUAUUACUGUAAUACUUUAUUUAAGUGCCCCAAGUAGUUUUAAGACGACCACGUCUAGUCAAGCAUUACCCAUUCAAAAUAAAUAAAGAAAUAAGUAAAUUAGUAAAUAAAAACAGGAAAUCGUAAUGAAAUAAACGUAAUUUGGUAUUUCUAUCUUGUUUAAUUAAUAUGUGCCAUAUGGUUAAGUGAUUGCAAAGCCACUGAAUUUUAGUUAUAAUUCUACCCGUUUUCCAUAAAUUUCAAUACGAUUUUAUUAUUUUAAGUUUAUGCAUAUACAUAUAAAACAGAUAUCUCUGGUCAACAUUUGAAGUCUGGGUGAAGAUUACCAAAACUGUGCUGCCAAGAUGUUGCAACAAAUCUCGCGGUGGGAUAGAUUAUCUCGCGAUAGGAUAGAUUAUCUCGCGAUGGGAUAGAUUAUCUCGCGAUAGGAUAGAUUAUCUCGCGAUGGGAUAGAUUAUCUCGCAAUACAAUACAUUAUCUCGCGAGAAAGCCUUAACGUUUUUCUUUCCAUAAACACAAGGAAAGCGCAUCGGUGUGUUGUAAGGCUUUACAAAUUAUUCUACUAAAAUCUACUGGUGGGUAAAAUUGUGUGCCCAACACAUUUAGAUGCAACGUGCCCGACCCCUGACUUGUUCAACACUAUGUUAAGUUUGGAUGUUCAAAUCACACCUGCACGUACAAACCUAUCAACAUUCACGCCUUCACCAGUAGCAACUGGGCUGUCACACUUCCAGGAGGAAAGAACAGGACAAUUUAAUCCAACCUCACUGGAUCUUCAAAGACAGAGGCAAAGGACCACAUCUCAUGAAAUGGCUACCCCCAGAUGACAAUUUACUCAAACCCUACUGGAUCUUCAAGUAAGACCGAGGCAAAGGCCCACAUCUCAUGAAACGGCUACCCCCAGAAUGGAUGCACAACAUGACACCAGUGGAGGUCGAGGUUAACAUCAACAACACUCGUGGACCCGUGGACACGUGUUGAGGCGGUCACAUAACGAACAGCCAUCUGUCAGACAGAAAAAUUCAGGAACCCUCUUCCAGGCCAUGUGCCAGAACCGAAUGAGUAUUGUCUCCAGUCCCAAAUUCAUCAUUGCCAUCCCAGUCCCAGACGACCCCCCAGUCUGCAUUGUGGAGAGAGCACAGAAGUGAGGGUGGCACCAGACCCUCACGGAGCGCUUACCCUAUGUCAACUGCAAUCUUGCUCUUCAGUUUUUGCAGCCCUAUAUUCACCGAAAUCAGCAGGCAAUGAAGACUGGUUUAGGUUCUAAAAAAACAGUCAAGCCUAAUGCCCUGCGUAAACACAAAAUGUGACAGCAAGUGUCAUGUUCACUUUUGGAGUUUAAGUAGUCUUGUUUGAAGGGUGUGUGUAUAUAUUAAUGUGCUGAUUUUUCUUUCAGGAUUCCAAAGGAAGGUCUUUUUUCAUGCUGUUUGGUUUAAAAGAUGAACUUGAGCGAAUAUCUGCCAUUCUGGACCCUGGCAAGUCUACAUCAUCUUUUAAAAGACUGGAUUAAGAGAGUGACCUAAAAUCCUUUGAAGAAUACAUCAAAGAUGAUGAAAAGAAGUGGAUCUGUGUUCAGCAACUGUCCAGAGUUGGUGGAUCUUCUGUCAGGGACUGCGUUAACCAAAUCAUGAACAGAGUCAUGUCAAAUGCCUUAAUGGCCAAAUUCAAUAUGAGGGGUGGUGGCCAACAUGACAAAAAGCCUUUCAAAGCUACAGCUUUGUACUAUGUAAUUCAAGAUAUGCUCUAAAGAGGUGGAGUUCAACUGCCACAGAUUCCGAAAUUGACACAGCAGUGGCGGAACACCUAAAACAUGCUCCAGGAUAAGCUGGGGGUGGUGGCUAUAAGAAAUGAGCUGUGCUACAGAAAUGUGCUAUAGUAAACAUUUUGAAAUAAUAGUAAAUAAAUAAAGAUUAUAAAUAUA